rnacentral:lncRNA from 1 species
UCCCCUGUCACCCAGAGUGAGAAGCCCCCCCUCCCGUUCUCAGAGCUCACGUAGGGCGGGGCACUGUGUUUGUUUACACUGGGCAGCUGGGAGAUCUUCCCCUGAAGGACAGGCUCCACAUAGCACAGUAUCCUCACUGCCAAGUGCUCUUCGGGUGUCUGUCUCUGCCAUCAGUAUUUUUAGCAUAUGGCCUUUGGAGCCCAAAGAACAACGUCCACCUCCCAGAACUGGUCCUCCAGCUGACAGAUAGGACUGCAUGAAAGAGGGCACUUCAGCAGAGGCCAACUGAGUCGGUGCAAAUCAGAUGCUAACGGCAACCCCUUCGCCCAGAAAUCCCAAGUGGAAGGACGCCUCUCGUGAAAUUGCCUUCCGUGACAGUUACAGACAGCCUGAAGGGAAUACCUGUCCAGGUGAUACGGGACAAGAAAAACACCACGAUGUAAGCAUCGUUUCUACAGAUCUCACAACAGGCCCCAAGCCAACCCCGUUGGGAUUCGUAUCAUGCUUUGUUGCACCAGAUGAAGUCUGAUCUGGGACCGUGCCAGAAAACACGGAAGGAAGAUGAGAAAGGGUGAAGAGCUUCUAAAUUAGAUUCUGCUGGGGCCAGGAAAGCAGACACGACUGCCGUGGAGAAGGUCAAUGCAAGCAUUUUAAAAUCGUGUCUUCCUUUUCAUGAUAAUCAAACAUUAAAAUGAGUGCAUUCUCUGC